AAGUUGCUGUGAAUCAACAUAAAUAUAUAUUUUUAAAUUGAGAACUAAAGAGUGUUCAAUAAACAAAACAAACCUCUUUCUUCAAAUUAGAUAUUAUGGCUUAAGUAGAAGUGCGGAUGAAGUAAAACUGAUUGUGAAUUGUAAGGUUAGUCCAAACAAAACUGUCAUGUUGACUUUGAUAGUUCACCGUGACUUUGACAAAUAAUAUCAUCGGAUGGCCAUCAUCAAAUCGAAUAUCAGUCUUUUCAGCAACAUCGUACUGUAAUUUUAUACUGUCUAAUUUCCACGAAUCAUGCACAGUUAGCUUUGUUAGCUACACAGAAACUAGAUGCAAAUAGGUGUCUUAUAUUUAUACAUCGAAAUAAAUAGUAGUAUUUAGUAGUAGAAAUCUUAAGCAGACUGGCUGCUAUUAUAAUUCAGGCAUUUUUUUUAUAAUGCCUGAAUUUCCUUUCUGUAGCUAAGAACUAGCGCACAUUGGCGACUUUUCAGGGUAGCAAAAUGAUAUGUCGGAUUGAGUGAAUAAAUCAUUUAAUUUAAAACGUCCAUAGCUCCAAAUUUGACAGUACUAGAAAAAAGUUCCCUUCGCCUCCUGGGAUCACCUAUUCUCGAUGAGUCCUUCACAAGUUAUAUUAACGAGAAAAUUCAAAAUUUUAAUGAUGUUUCAGAGAGAUUAUACAAAAUCAGUAUACAUUCGGCCUUCACUUUGAUUCGGUACUGUUGUUUUGGACCAAAAUUUA